rnacentral:rRNA from 1 species
UACGGAGGGUGCAAACGUUGCUCGGAAUCAUUGGGCGUAAAGCGCACGUAGGUGGCUUGUUAAGUCGGGUGUGAAAUCCCUGGGCUCAACCCAGGAAGUGCACUCGAAACUGGCGAGCUUGAGUACUGAAGAGGGUCGCGGAAUUCCCGGUGUAGAGGUGAAAUUCGUAGAUAUCGGGAGGAACACCAGUGGCGAAGGCG